UUUCAUGAUGAUUCCGAUUUUUAUAAGCAUAGUUCAACUGAAGGUCUCCGGACCCUUGAACGACAACCUUUUUCAUCUUUCACCUUUUCUGAAC
rnacentral:snoRNA from 1 species